CAGGACGUAGCUAAAGAGAAUAGCAUCUCCCUUACACCGAGAAGUCACCCGUGCAACCCGGGUCGGCCUGA
rnacentral:tRNA from 1 species